rnacentral:rRNA from 1 species
GACGAACGCUGGCGGCGCGCCUAACACAUGCAAGUCGAACGAGCAAAGAGGAGCUUGCUUCUCUGAGCGAGUGGCGAACGGGUGAGUAACGCGUGAGGAACCUGCCUCAAAGAGGGGGACAACAGUUGGAAACGACUGCUAAUACCGCAUAAGCCCACGGGUCGGCAUCGACCAGAGGGAAAAGGAGCAAUCCGCUUUGAGAUGGCCUCGCGUCCGAUUAGCUAGUUGGUGAGGUAACGGCCCACCAAGGCGACGAUCGGUAGCCGGACUGAGAGGUUGAACGGCCACAUUGGGACUGAGACACGGCCCAGACUCCUACGGGAGGCAGCAGUGGGGAAUAUUGCACAAUGGGGGAAACCCUGAUGCAGCGACGCCGCGUGAGUGAUGAAGUAUUUCGGUAUGUAAAACUCUAAUCAGCAGGGAAGAUAAUGACGGUACCUGACUAAGAAGCACCGGCUAAAUACGUG